rnacentral:rRNA from 1 species
AGAGUUUGAUCCUGGCUCAGGAUGAACGCCGGCGGCGUGCCUAACACAUGCAAGUCGAGCGAAGCAAUUCGAAUGAAGUUUUCGGAUGGAAUUUGGAUUGACUGAGCGGCGGACGGGUGAGUAACGCGUGGAUAACCUGCCUCACACAGGGGGAUAACAGUUAGAAAUGACUGCUAAUACCGCAUAAGCGCACGGUACCGCAUGGUACAGUGUGAAAAACUGAGGUGGUGUGAGAUGGAUCCGCGUCUGAUUAGCUAGUUGGUGGAGUAGUAGCCCACCAAGGCGACGAUCAGUAGCCGACCUGAGAGGGUGACCGGCCACAUUGGGACUGAGACACGGCCCAA